GCCGCGCGCUGGGGCGUAGGGGACCGCGGCUUGGAACUCCGGACGGCUGCAAGCCUGCUCAGGCUCCUUGUCUUCAUCGCCUUCUUUCGCUGUGCGCGGACCACACGGUGGAACUGUAGCGGCGAAAGCGACUGAGGUCUGGGCGCAAUUAUCUGUAACCUCCUGGCGACCCUGCAAGAAGACGCGUUAUUACAAGAUACUGAAUAUAGUUCCUUGCUCUAUACAGGGAACACAAGUAAGAAUGGAGGGUGCUCUUCCCCCCGCCCCACCCCGAAGGUAACAAAGGAUCAAGGUUUUCUCCAUGAAAUAGCCGCAGAAUGUAAACUGAGGCUGCUGGCAUUUCCCUGAGAGUUUUACUGGCUCAGCUCAAGAACCACCUCCUCCAAGUUGUCUUCCUGGAUUUACUCAGCCUAAAGUAAUCCUUCUUUUUCCUAGCCUGGACUGUGAAGACCAAACCAGCUCUCCAACCUGACAGACAGCGCUUGUUUUAUCUAAGGAAAGGGGACAGGACGGGCAGCGCUCACCUGUCUGACAGGGACGACUACACCUCUUCACGGGAAUUCUCGGAUCCUUGAAACAACACUUUAAGGGCUCAGCACAAUGGACAUAGAAACAGCAGAGGUCGAUGACUGCAUUGAUCCAAAUUUGGAAGUUGUGUGGCAGUCUGUGAAAAAUGGAAUCCUGCCAACAACCAUGUGACUGAACUUGGAAGCAGACCCUUCCCAGUAGAGCCUUCGGAUGAGGUGACAUCCCUGGCCAGCGCCUUGACUGCGGGCUUGCGAGAGGCCCUGAAGCAGAAGACCCAGCUAAGCCACGCCUGGAUUCCUGAAAAAUAAAAUAAGAGAAAAUGAACAAUUAUACAACAUUAACCUGCACCAGUGACUUUCUAAAUCUAAGAAAAUAGUCUUAUGUGUGUAUAUACUAUAUCUCAACAAGGAGAGAAGAACAAUACAUUUUCUUUUUGUAACUUGGAACCUUGUGUAUCUGAUGGCUUCGACCACCUGAUGACCGCACCAGCCUUGUCUCUGUUGCCCAACACCACAAAUGCUUGCCCCACCCCUCCUUUGAUCCUCUCAUUCUCUCUUUCUUUCUUUUUGGAGAGGCCAUUCUGAGAUUUAAAUAAAGCUUUCUAUUGAUACUUAAGAAGAUUUUGCACAAUUUCCGUUCGACCAAGUAACAGAGACUGGAUUUACCCUCUUACUUUAAAGAACCAAAAAACAGGACAAAAUGUAUAAGCUCUACCUGACUUGGCUCCCUGAACUCUGAGAUUGGUGUCCGCAACCCAGGGAGUCUUCCAAGCUCUGCCUCAGCUCCCCUUCCCCAUGUCCUAUCCUGGAAACUUUCUGAAGGCACUAAGUUGGGUCAAAUCUUCCACCUUAAGACGCUGGGAAAAGAAGGGCAAACUAAACCUAAAGCAAGCCAGAAGGAAAUGAUAAAGAUCAGAGUGGAAAUUAUUGGACUAGAUAAUAGAAAAAACAAUCAAGAAAAUCAGUGAAACCAAAAGCUGGUUCUUGGAAAAGAUCAACAAAAUUGGCAAAACUUUAGUUAGAUUGACUAAGAAAAAAAGAAGACUCAAAUUUCUAGAAUCAGAAAUGAAAGAGGGGAUAUUACUACUGACUUUACAGGAAUAAAAAAGGAUUAUGUGGGAAUUCUAUGAACAAUUAUAUACCAAUAAAUUAGAUGAAAUGGACAAAUUUCUAGAGAGACACAAACUACUGAAAUUGACUCAAGAAGAAAAAAAAACAGUAUGAAUAGAUCUAUAACAAGUGACAAGCCUGAAUUAGUAAUUUUAAACAAAACUGCCCACAAAGAAAACCCCAGGUCCAGACGGUUCACCACUGAAUUCUAACAAACAUUUAAAGAACUAAUACUAACUCUUCUCUUCACCAACUCUUCCAAAAAUAGAAGAGACUGGAACACUUCCCAGUUCAUUCUAUGGGGCUAAUAUUACCCUCAUACCAAAACCAAAGACAUCACAAGGAAAGAAAACUACAGAUUAUUAUCUCUUAUGAACAUAGGUGCAAAAAUCCUUAGCAAAGUGAAUCCAACAACAUAUAAAAAGAAUUAUGCACUAUGAGAAGUGGGAUUUAUCCUAGGAAUAAGCAGUCUGUUUAACAUCUGAAAGUAAGUUAAUGUAAUACAUCAUAAUAAUUGAAUAAAAAACAAAAUCACAUGAUCAUCUCAAUAGAUGCAAAAAAGCAUAUGACAAAAUCCAACAACCUUUCAUGACAGAAACACUCAAUAAACUAGGGAUGGAAGAGAACUUCCUCAACUUAACAAAGGACUUCUAUGAAAAACCCACAGCUAACAUCAUACUUAAUGGUGAAAGCAUAGGUGCUUUAUACCCUUAAAAUUAGGAACAAAACAAUCUCUGCAGCCCAACAUUUUAUUGGAGUUCUAUCCAGGGCACUUAGGCCACAGAAAGAAAUAAAAGACAUCCACACUGGAAAGGGAAAAGUAAAAUUAUCUCUAUUUGCAGAUGACAAGAUCUUUUAUGUAGAAAAUCUCAAGGAAUCCACAAAGAAAACAAAACACCUAUUAUAACUAAUUAAAAAGUUCAGCAAGGUUGCAGAAUACAGGAUCAAUAUACAAUAAUCAAUUGUGGAUCUGUAUACUUACAAUGAACAAUCCGAGAUUACAAAAGCAAUUCCAUUUACAGUAGCAUUGAAAAGAAUAAAAUACUUAGGAAUAAAGCUAAGUGAAGGAGUGUAAAACAUACUCUGAAAAUUAUAAGACACUGUUGAAAGAAAUUAAUGAUCUAAAUGGAACACAUUCCAUGCUCAUGGAUUGGAAGACUUCAUAUUGUUAAGAUGGUAAUACUUCCCAAAUUGAUCUAUGAUUUGAUGCAAUCCCUAUAAGAAUCUCAGCUGGCUUCUCUUUAGAAAAUGGCAAGCUGAUUGUAAAAUUCAUAUGGAAUUGUAAGUGACCCAGAAUAGCCAAAGCAAUCUUGAAAAAGAAGAACAAAGGAGGAGGAUUCUCACUUCCCAAUUUCAAAAUUUACUACAAAGCAAUGAUAGUCAAGAUAGUGUGGAAAUGGCAUAGAGAUAGACAUAUAAAUCAAUGGAAUAAAAUUGAGACUCCAGAAAUAAACCCAUGUGUCUAUGGUCAGCUGAUUUUUGACAAGAGUGCCAAGUUCAUUCAAUGGUGAAAGAAUAGUUAUUUCAAAAAAUAAUGCUGAGACGACUGGAUAACCACAUGUAAAAGAAUGAAGUUGGACCAUGCCCCAUACCAUAUACAAAAAUCAACUUUAAAUUGAUCAAAAACUUAAAUAUAAGAGCUAAAACUAUAAAACUCUUAUAAGAAAACAUAGGGGUAAAUCUUCAUGACCUUAGAUUUGGCAAAGGUUUCUUAUUUAUGGCACCAAAAGGAUGAAAAACAAAAGAGAAAAAUAGAUAAAUUGGACCUCAUCAAAAUAGAACACUUUUGUGCUUCAAAGGACAUUCAUGAAAGUGCAAAGACAGCCCACAGGAUGGGAGAAAAUAUUUGCAAGUCAUUAAUCUGAUGAGGGGAUUGUAUCUAGACUAUAUAAAGAAUUUUUACAACUUGAUAAUAAAAACAUAAAUAACCCAAUUAAAAAAUGGGCAAAGGAUAUGAAAUGAUUAUUUCCCCAAGGAAGAUAUACAAAAUGGCCAAUAAGCAUAUGAAAAGUUUCUCAACAUCAUCAGGGAAAUGCAAAUCAAAACCACAAUGAACUUCAUACCACUUCAUACCCACUCGGAUGGCUAUAAUAAAAAAGCCAGAUACUAGCAAGUAUUGACGAGGAUGCGGAGAAAUCAGAACUCUUGUACAUUGUUGGUGGGUAUGUAAAAUGCCACUUUGGAAAACAGUCUGGUAGUUCCUGAAAAGUUUAAACAUAGAGUUACUAUAUAAUCCAACAAUUCUCUUCUAAGAAUUGAAGAAUAUCUUCCUUCCAAGAGAAAGGAAAAUAUAUGUCCACAGAAAAAAACCAAACUUGUGGGCUUCCCUGGUGGCGCAGUGGUAGAGAGUCCGCCUGCCGAUGCAGGGGACACGGGUUCGUGCCCCGGUCCGGGAAGAUCCCACAUGCCGCGGAGCGGCUGGGCCCGUGAGCCAUGGCCGCUGAGCCUGUGCGUCCGGAGCCUGUGCUCCGCAACGGGAGAGGCCACAACAGUGAGAGGCCCGCGUACUGCAAACAAAACAAAACAAAAACAAACAAACAAACAAAAACUUCUUAUAGCAGCAUUAUUCAUAAUAACCAAAAGGUGAAAACAACCCAAAUGUCCAUCAACUGAUGAAUGUAUAAAUACAAUGUGCUAUAUCCAUACAAUGGAAUAUUAUUUGGCCGUAAAAGGAGCAAAGUGCUUACUGAUACAUGAUACAACAUGGAUUCAUCUUGGAAAACAUUAUACUGAGUCAAAGAAGCCAGUUACAAAAGACCACAUAUUAUAAGAUUCCAUUUAUUUGAAAUGUCCAGAAUAAAGAAAUCUAUAGACAGAAAGUAGAUUAAUAGUGGCUUAGGACUGGACGGAAUAGGGAAUAGAAAACUAAAGGGUAUAGGAUUUCUUUCUGAGGUGAGGAAAGCAUUCUGAAAUUGGUGAUGGUCACACAUGUCUGUGAAUAUACUAAAAACCAUUGAAUCGUACACUUGAAAUGGAUGAAUGUGAAUUAUAAUUAUUAUA